rnacentral:lncRNA from 1 species
GCGACACGGGAGGCGACCCGAAGCCGCCCCGCCGCCGGCCUUCUCUCCCUCGCCUCCCCCACCUCGCCGCCGCCUGAGCAGCCGCCGGCAAAGCCAGGCAGCGGCAAGGACGGUGGCGGCGGGGCAUUCUACCCCCUCCAACACCCGGCGGUUGGGGCCCCGACGGGAAAUAGGCGGAGGGGCGGCGACGCGUUGAGGCGGCUCCGGCGACGCCGACGGCCAGAGCGGAUCUGGCCCCCCCGCGGCCAGAUCGAGACGAAGCGGCGUCGGCCACGCCGCAUCAGCGAGGCGCCGGCAGAGAAGGCCGCUGGCUGCGGCAGUCGCAGCACGGGCGGAGGAGGCGACGUCGCUGGCGGCGGGGACGAGGCAGAGAGCCUGGGCGCCGCCGGAUCUGGCUCCCUCCAGGCCGGAUCCAACGCCCGCAGCGAAGGAGGCCGGCUCUGGGGUGGCGGGGCAGAAGAGGCGGCGGCGGCGGCGACGGGACGGAGGGGGCGGCGCUAA